AUUGAACGCUGGCGGCAUGCCUUACACAUGCAAGUCGAACGGCAGCACGGGAGCAAUCCUGGUGGCGAGUGGCGAACGGGUGAGUAAUAUAUCGGAACGUGCCCAGUCGUGGGGGAUAACGCAGCGAAAGCUGUGCUAAUACUGCAUACGAUCUACGGAUGAAAGCGGGGGAUCGCAAGACUUCGCGCGAUUGGAGCGGCCGAUAUCAGAUUAGCUAGUUGGUGGGGUAAAGGCCCACCAAGGCGACGAUCUGUAGCUGGUCUGAGAGGACGACCAGCCACACUGGAACUGAGACACGGUCCAGACUCCUACGGGAGGCAGCAGUGGGGAAUUUUGGACAAUGGGCGAAAGCCUGAUCCAGCAAUGCCGCGUGCAGGACGAAGGCCUUCGGGUUGUAAACUGCUUUUGUACGGAACGAAACGGUCUCUUCUAAUAAAGGGGGCUAAUGACGGUACCGUAAGAAUAAGCACCGGCUAACUACGUGCCAGCCGCCGCGGUAA
rnacentral:rRNA from 1 species